AGGGGAUACAGACAAGAAUUUACUCUUUAUCUCACUGUAACAUUUCAGUGCUUCUCCAAAGCCAACCCCACCAAAGUGUGGUUAAAACGAUAAUGAGAGAGCUCAGGAUCAUAUUGCAGUCAACAGCAAAAUGAGUGUUGGGUUCAUUGACACCAGAACAUCGUGCUGCUGGGAUUAUUUGGGGGAGGAGUCCUCCCACUCUUCUGCUCCAGAAUGGGUUCCCUCCUACAGAGAUGGUGGAAAUAAAGCUGUUAUGAUCUCUGCGACAGUCACUACUGCUAAUGCCCAUCAUAAAAGCCAGUAAGGAGGCAGAUAUGUUGAUUUAUCAGGCAUUGCUGCUCCUAUAUAUCUACUUUCUAAUAAAAAUAUGUGGAA